AUCCUUUGAAGGCAACAUGUCUUUUCUGCUGGAUAUAUGGGGUGUCUAUUUUCACUAAAUUUGCUUGGUACUCUGUGACCUCUUUUGAUCUGAUGUCUCAAAUCUUUCUUCAGAUCUGGAAACUUAUUCGGAUCCUGAUCUUAGCAAAUUAACUUUAAAAUAACAGUUUUGAGACAAUUAGGUCAAUAUAAAUGUGGGUGAUCAUU
rnacentral:lncRNA from 1 species